rnacentral:rRNA from 1 species
GAUGAACGCUGGCGGCGUGCCUAAUACAUGCAAGUCGAGCGAACGGACGAGGAGCUUGCUUCUCUGAUGUUAGCGGCGGACGGGUGAGUAACACGUGGAUAACCUACCUAUAAGACUGGGAUAACUUCGGGAAACCGGAGCUAAUACCGGAUGAUAUUUUGAACCGCAUGGUUCAAUAGUGAAAGACGGUCUUGCUGUCACUUAUAGAUGGAUCCGCGCUGCAUUAGCUAGUUGGUAAGGUAACGGCUUACCAAGGCAACGAUGCAUAGCCGACCUGAGAGGGUGAUAGGCCACACUGGAACUGAGACACGGUCCAGACUCCUACGGGAGGCAGCAGUAGGGAAUCUUCCGCAAUGGGCGAAAGCCUGACGGAGCAACGCCGCGUGAGUGAUGAAGGUCUUCGGAGCGUAAAACUCUGUUAUUAGGGAAGAACAGAUGUGUAAGUAACUGUGCACAUCUUGACGGUACCUAAUCAGAAAGCCACGGCUAACUACGUG